AAUAUUUUGUGGACCUCAGAUCCUUCAAACCCUAAUUUUCUGUGCAUCCUUCUAUCAAGGAAAUGAUCCUUAAGGAAUAGGCCAGGCCAGAGAAGAAAGUUACCCUAAAUAAUAUGAAUCCAAGGAUCUACCCAUUUGCUUCCAAGGAUUGCAAAACUUGGACUGUGAUCCCAUAAAUAGAUGCUGUAACGAACGCUGGUAUAACCUAUACCCAUUCGUCUGUUUCCUCCCAGAGCAUGAGUGAUUAUAACUUGCAGUUCUGGAAUUGAAGUGCACAAUUCUCCAUAUGAAAUAACACCCUCCCAAGUAGAUUUAAGGGAAUAUUUAAGGGAACCUAUGGAGAAAAAGACUGGAUGCCAACCUAAUAAAAGCUUAUCUGUCUCUUGGCUCAGCUUUACAACCCUGUCCAGAGCUAUGAAAGUAUGGUUAGACAACCUGGAAGAAGAUCUCCAAAGAGGUAUAAGAAGAGAACACCUUCUGGAAACCCUUUGGGAUUUCAGACUCGCAG